UCGCCACGGGAGAUUUAUGCCUCUCCCCUCUGCCGCCAACAAAAACUGGCCAAGAAGCGUUUUUAGGGUGGAAAAAAACCCCGUGACGAGGAGGGGCUAGCGAGUGGGAGGAAGGCUGGGCGAGGAAUUUAGGUGUCUGCACUUUUUUUUUUCCUUUUUUUUUUUUUCCCCCCCCCUCUCUCAAGUGCUACUUUUGUUUCCCAUCCCAAUUUUCGGCCCUCCUUUAAUUCCGGGCGCUCCCUCCUUGGCCUGAAGUGCUGACGAGGGGGGAAUUUGAGUGGAGCAAAAGGCAAAGAGGCACCACCAAGGCUCUUUGGACUUUGCUGGGAAGGCUGACAGCGCUGGAAAGAGGAAAAGAAAAUAAAACGACAAUAAAAAGGAUGCCCAAGGAAAUAUUUGGACUUUGGAGGACUCACACAGCCAAGGUUUUCCAGGUGAUGGAUAAAGUCUGAUCCCAAGGAUUCCGGGGUUUCCAGCUAUUGUUCUGCCUGCAGCCUGCAGCCCCCAGAUGGGACCAGAGAACACCAUUAUUGCCAUUUUAUUAUUAUUUUUUCCCCCCACCACCCCUCUCAUCUGCCUUUUUAUGAACUGCUCCGACAUAAAUCUUCUGCGCCGAGACAGUUCCCAUUUAGGAAGCCCGGCGUGGAAUUCCCAGGGAAAAGGGAAGAGGAGAAACAGUCGUGGACUAUUUAAAGACUUCUCUGCAGAUGAACUUCUCUACAGAUUUCUGACCAUGGAUCUCCACUGACUUAUUUGGAGCUCUUGGACAACCAGAAGUGCCUCGGAUCCUGCAAGCAACUCCUCUGAAGUGCAAAAAUUCUUGUUUUAACCUCAACCAGCUGGAAAAAAUCCCUGUCAAGGCGGUGGUUGCACGUUUAGGAGUUGAGCUGCUGUAAGUAGUUAUUUCAGGCAUUGCCAUUUUUGCUUUGCUUGCAGCUUAUUUUUCUUUCAAAUGCGGCUCCCUCGCCCUCGUCACGAAAUCAGCAGCAAAUGUUGCGAUCUGAGUGGCUCUCCCUUCAAAGGGAGCGCAGGAAAUAUCUCCCAUCUCAAACACUCCCUCCAAGUCACGGCCAUAAAUCACCAAGUUUCCAGACAAGCCGGUAGCAAAAGGAAAAUAACUCGGCUGAAACCCGCAGCAGCCUUUGCUUGUUUUGGGGUGGGGUGGAGGGGAGGGAUUUAAAAUUAAAAAAAAAAAAAAAAAAAAAAAAAAAUGAAACAAGUCACGUUUGGGGGAUUUUUAGAGGAGGAAUGGCUUCUGCGAGGCUGGUGGUGAGCAGGGACAGACGGACACGACACACACAGAGGCCAGAGGAGGAGGACGGAGCUGCUUUAUGGAGCACGAGGACACGACCCGCGCAGCAGCGAUUCGGUCCCAAAAUUAACGCGUUCGAGCCGCGAACGUUCCGAAAGCCACGCCGAGAUUUAUCACCGCAACUUUGGCACGCAGAGCUCCCGGCGCGGGGAGGAGAGAAAGGGAAGGGGAAGAAAAAGAAAGCAAAAAAAAAAAAAAACCAAACCAAAAAAAAGCAAUCUCAUUUAAAAAUAUUUUCGUUUUGGGAAAUAUUCGGUCGCUUUAAUAAUCCUGUUUCCGUUCUGUAUGUUGAUGUUAUUAAUCUCAAAUAAAAAUGUUCCCCUCGCACCCUCACUCUGCUUGUGACAACAUCCCCGAGUCCAUAAAUCACCCGCGGAUGCUUCGUGACCUUCUCGAGUCGGCGGCCUGUGGCUGGGUUUUUUAUUAGGAUUAUUAUUACACGCGCUUUAAUGCGCAGCCCUGGCCGUGCUCCACUUACA